rnacentral:rRNA from 1 species
CUAUAAUGGAGAGUUUGAUCCUGGCUCAGGACGAACGCUGGCGGCGUGCCUAAUACAUGCAAGUCGAGCGGAAGUUGAAGAGCUUGCUCUUCAACUUUAGCGGCGGACGGGUGAGUAACACGUGGGCAACCUGCCCUGCAGAUCGGGAUAACUCCGGGAAACCGGUGCUAAUACCGAAUAGUUUGUCCUCCCUCCUGGGAGGAUACGGAAAGACGGUUUCGGCUGUCACUGCAGGAUGGGCCCGCG